CAGCCACGGUAAUACGUAGGUGGCAAGCGUUGUCCGGAAUUAUUGGGCGUAAAGGGCGCGUAGGCGGACUGAUAAGUCAGGGGUGAAAUCCCAAGGCUCAACCUUGGAACUGCCUUUGAUACUGUUUGUCUUGAGUUCGAGAGAGGUAAGUGGAACUGCGAGUGUAGAGGUGAAAUUCGUAGAUAUUCGCAAGAACACCAGUGGCGAAGGCGGCUUACUGGCUCGAUACUGACGCUGAGGCGCGAAAGCGUGGGGAGAAAAUUGGAUUAGAUACCCGAGUAGUCCCUGUCUCUUAUACACU
rnacentral:rRNA from 1 species